ACGCGCGCUGGCGGCAUGCCUAACCCAUGCAAGUCGAACGAGACCUUCGGGUCUAGUGGCGCACGGGUGCGUAACGCGUGGGAACCUGCCCUUAGGUUCGGAAUAACUCCCCGAAAGGGGUGCUAAUACCGGAUAAUGUCUUCGGACCAAAGAUUUAUCGCCUUUGGAUGGGCCCGCGUUGGAUUAGCUAGUUGGUAGGGUAAAAGCCUACCAAGGCGACGAUCCAUAGCUGGUCUGAGAGGAUGAUCAGCCACACUGGGACUGAGACACGGCCCAGACUCCUACGGGAGGCAGCAGUGGGGAAUAUUGGACAAUGGGCGAAAGCCUGAUCCAGCAAUGCCGCGUGAGUGAUGAAGGCCUUAGGGUUGUAAAGCUCUUUUACCCGGGAUGAUAAUGACAGUACCGGGAGAAUAAGCUCCGGCUAACUCCGUG
rnacentral:rRNA from 1 species